rnacentral:lncRNA from 1 species
AAAUUUUCAUCACCCAUCUCUCUUUAUUAGACACCCCCUCGUUCAUAUCUUACUCACACACACUCUCAGAAACCAUGUUUUCUUCUCAUGGCUAAAUCCAAACCCUCUCCAUCUUUCCCGAUGCCUCGAAGAAGUCACCAGUUAAAACAAAAUUACCCACACUGAUGAACAUGUUGACAUUGAAUCGUCGAAGGGCUCAGAUCAUCAAGUGUUUUGAAGAAGAAUCUAGUAAUUAUCUGGAAGAAAUUCUCAUUACUCAAAAAGGGACCAGCAAACGACUAAUGGAGUCGAAUCUCAAACAAUCAUCACAGAAGAAAGGGAAAAUCAAAAGCAUGGAUUUAGGCUCCGAGGACAAAAUGAACUUCUAUGGUCCUGAGGAGAAGUCCUAAUUGGUUGCCUACAAAGGGAAGUCGAUUUCUUAUGGAUGCACUGUAAGUUUAAAAUCUAUGAAGAAUUCUCAUUGUGAUGUUGUCUCUGUGUUUGAAACUCAAAAACUCUUAUCUCAAUUUGCUAUUGUUGGUGAUACCAUUUAUGAAAAUCUUGUGCGUAUGUUAUAUGCAAACUUGUUUGUGGAUGACAAAGAUGAUUUGGAAUUUAUGGUUCUUGGGACUUGCAUCAUUCUUGAUUAUUAUCAGUUUGAAAAUAUCUUUUCAACUAAGUUUCUUGGGUAUAGUUUCUUUGUACAACAUUCGUGGCCUGAUGAUAUUAAAGUAUCUUUUGAGGAUGCAAAAAGUGUUCUAUCUAAAACUCCCCUGAUAUAGGUCGCAAGAACCUAAACUUUUGAGCAUUCUGUGUUAGCCCACAUUAUUGUUACCACCCUCCUACCUUGCAUUGGGUCCCUUAGCACCUUGUCUAUCAUACACGUGUUUGUUUUGUACUGUCUUAUUAAUGGAAAAAGCUAUUGAUUGGUUCACCUGGAUACGUCAAUUCAUGCUUGAGAGUAUUAGGGAUGUCUCUUCCUCUGCGAACAGUUUGCCCUAUGGCCUACUAAUCUCUCAUAUUUUGCAAGUGAUGAAAGUGGAUUUAUCUCCCUUUUCCCCUAAGAUCUUCUCUAGCACUUAUGACAAAACAACAAUUGCUAUGAUGGGGUACACCUUAGUUAAAGGGACUUGGGUCAAGAAAGAAAAACCCCCAGAAUCUACAACCCCAACAUAACAUGGUACUUGAGGAAUUAUGUCUGAAGUCAAACAAUCUUCAUCCUCAGAUCAGUUGUUGCUAAUGCAUCAAAAUAUUGUAAGUAUCAAGGAUUUGCUAACCACUAUGCAGGAACAAGUAGGCAAAAUCUGGGAAGUAACAAAGGAAACUGGAGCAGAUGUGGCUAGAUUAAGAAUCAAUCUUCAGACCACAAAAAGACAAAGGAUCAGGGCUAUGCAGGAUGUCACUGAUCAUUCGAUUAAAGUCACUAAGGAGAUUGAUGCCUCUUAUAAUAAUUUCUACACCAAAGCGAUCAACAUUCUAAAGUAUUUCCUUGGAAGGAAUUGUUGUCUGGGAUGUUUCAACUAUGACUACUUGGUUGUAUAUAUAAGUACUACAUGAUGGUUAUUUUAUGUCAUUAUCUAUCAUUUUCUAUGUAUCUUCUCUUGUUAUUUUUUAUUGAUAUCAAAGGGGGAGAAGAAAAAGAGUAUAAAGACAGGGGGGCUAGAUAGGGGGAGGAUGAAGACCAGGGAGCACAGCAUAUAAAAGGAUACAAUGUGAAGGAAAACAUUACAAAAUCCUUGAAACUCUUUUAUUUAUUGUCAAAAAAGUGGGAGAUUGUUAGGUUUCGAAUUUCAACGAUGACUCAAAACAAAAGUUAAACACUCUCUAGUAAUGUAUCUACCACGUGUGUAGGCUAACUAUUCAAAUCACAAGAAGGAAAGUGCAUCAGGGUAGGAAAGAAACAAAGGAAGGUACAACCACAACUAUCACAUUCAAAUCCUUCUAUCAAGUGCGUACAUCAGGAAAAUAAAGAAGGAAAGUGAAUCAAUCAAUAUGAAAAAUAGACAAAAGACUAUCAAGGAAGGAAAGGGAAUCAAUAAAUUGUGCAAAAUCAACGAAAGACUCAACUUCAGUGAUUGGAAAGAAGUUCAAGGCAAAUCCAGCAUAUUAACUAAGGAUGAAUCUGGCCUUGCUUCGUGUGUUGUAUUCAAGAGGCAACCCUUGGGUCCUACUCUUAGAAUACAUUGACUCAAAAGGAAAAUCAUUUAAUCAACGAUUUUCCAAAAUCUUACAGAAAGGAACCAACAACUUCAUCAAGCUCUAUAUAAGAAGAGAAGAAAGGACUUGGGAUUUUACGCAACUUUCAUACAAGUUUUCAAUCUUUCUACUUCUUAAAAAAUACUGUAUUCCUAAGCUUACUAGUGUCUCAAAAGAUAGAGAGAAAAAAGAAAUUGAUUGAAAGGUUGUGUCAAGAAUUCAUUUGUAAUUCGUUUGUGGUAAACGUGAAGAAAACAACAUAUAUAGUUGUUCAAUUGAAGAUUUAAGAGAACCCUUAUGACCCAAGGCAACUGGAUGUAGUUUCCAUAUCGGUACACAAACCAGUAUAAAAAUCUCUAUCUCUCAUGUUUAUUUUUAUUGUUCUCCGUUACUUUUAUUUCUUGUACUAACUUUUGUCUGUAGAACCUUGGUAGUCAACUAAGAACAAAGUUAGUCGACUAAAGAAUUUUUACAAUUCGCCCCCUUG